UACAGAGGGUGCGAGCGUUGUUCGGAAUUACUGGGCGUAAAGGGCGCGUAGGCGGUCGUGUCAAGUCACUUGUGAAAUCUCCGGGCUUAACUCGGAACGGUCAAGUGAUACUGUCGGACUAGAGUACAGAAGGGGCAACUGGAAUUCUCGGUGUAGCGGUGAAAUGCGUAGAUAUCGAGAGGAACACCUGCGGCGAAGGCGGGUUGCUGGGCUGAUACUGACGCUGAUGCGCGAAAGCCAGGGGAGCGAACGGG
rnacentral:rRNA from 1 species